rnacentral:rRNA from 1 species
AAGACCUUGCGCUUUUGGAGCGGCCGAUGCCUGAUUAGCUUGUUGGUAAGGUAAAAGCUUACCAAGGCUUCGAUCAGUAGCUGGUCUGAGAGGACGACCAGCCACACUGGGACUGAGACACGGCCCAGACUCCUACGGGAGGCAGCAGUGGGGAAUUUUGGACAAUGGGGGCAACCCUGAUCCAGCCAUGCCGCGUGAGUGAAGAAGGUCUUCGGGUUGUAAAGCUCUUUCAGCCGGAACGAAACGGUUACGGUUAAUACCCAUGACUGCUGACGGUACCGGAAGAAGAAGCACCGGCUAACUACGUGCCAGCAGCCGCGGUAAUACGUAGGGUGCGAGCGUUAAUCGGAAUUACUGGGCGUAAAGCGUGCGCAGGUGGUUUUGUAAGUCAGAUGUGAAAGCCCCGGGCUCAACCUGGGAACU